GUACCCCCUCCUACAGCAGCAACACGAAGGCGGAGACGUCGCCGACAUCUCCGAGCAAUGAGGACACGUGACGUGAACAAUCCUCAGGAGGGUCCGGGCAACGAAAACUUGAGGCACGCACGCGGCUGCUAAUGCAGUCACCUUUUUGUUAGUAUACAGACUCUUAACGUUAGAUGGCGCACGGAGACCACUCUAACCAAAAACCUCAUUGACUUAACCAAACUUUGUGUAAUUUAAAGCCUGCAAAUGCAUCUAUUUGCAUAUUGAAUAUUCACAUUCUAUAUCGUGCGUGAUAAUACAUUUCGAGAAUUUUGCCUCUUGGUUAGAAACAACGAUUGCCAUUAAAUCUUGCCAACGAAGAAGAAAAUAUCCACGUCGGCACCUGUUAGUAACGUCAUACACCACCUGAAGUCACACGCUCAAGGCCAAGACAAGUCAACCCAUGUAGUUGUCCUGCAGGUAACACAAAUAAUAAGGUGGAGGAGCACCAAAGAGCUAAGGAGGAACAGGCAGUGGCAGAGGACAUGAGCAGAAUAAGGGGGGAAACUGUAUAAAUGCGGCACGCAAGGCCGUCACACUUAAUGACUCAGAGUAGGAGGAAGAGUCCAAGUGUUGUGAAGAGUCUGCGAAAAGCCCAUCAAUCAUAGCCCAGUCACAGCUUCAGAACUACUGGUGCAAAAUCCCUGCAGAGAAGCUCUACAAAUUAGCAUCCUGUCUCUAGUGAAUACGUGGCUCAUAAAUCAUUGGAGAUGAUUGCCCUGCAUCAAAGUAUCCUUACUGCGGGUAUCACAGCAAGUGGUCAAUGAAAGUCAUGUUGGGCUAAAGCACCCUAAUUGACAAUUGGUGCUAAUUAGCCUUGAAAUUCUAAAUUAGCA